rnacentral:rRNA from 1 species
AAAGGAAUUGACGGGGGCCCGCACAAGCAGUGGAGCAUGUGGUUUAAUUCGACGCAACGCGAAGAACCUUACCUAGGCUUGAAACGCUAGUUAAUCCCGAUGAAAGUCGGGGUACCGCAAGGUGAACUAGUACAGGUGCUGCAUGGCUGUCGUCAGCUCGUGCCGUGAGGUGUUGGGUUAAGUCCCGCAACGAGCGCAACCCUCGUUCUUAGUUGCCAUCAGAUAAUGCUGGGCACUCUAAGAAGACUGCCUACGCAAGUAGUGAGGAAGGUGGGGAUGACGUCAAGUCCGCAUGGCCCUUACGCCUAGGGCCACACACGUGCUACAAUGGCCAUCACAAAGGGCUGCAAUACCGCGAGGUGGAGCCAAUCCCUAAAAAAUGGUCUCAGUUCGGAUUGGAGUCUGCAACUCGACUCCAUGAAGCUGGAAUUGCUAGUAAUCGCGCAUCAGCACGGCGCGGUGAAUACGUUCCCGGGCCUUGUACACACCGCCCGU